rnacentral:rRNA from 1 species
UCUUAGAGGUAAAAAAACAUGUAGUCUACCAGAGUACUAUGAAUCGUUAAAUUUAAAACUCAAAGGGCUUGGCGGUGUUUUAGACUUUUCAGGGGAACCUGUCUCAUAAUCGAUAGUCCACGAUAUACCUAACUUUUAUUUGCUUUCAGUUUGUAUACCGUCGUCGUCAGGUAACUUUUUAGAAGAAAGAAGUUAGCAAUAAAGUAUGUAUAAUCUCUUACGUCAGAUCAAGGUGCAGCUAAUAUAAAAGAGAGGAUGGGUUACAAUUAUUAUAGUCAUAAUUACGGAAAUAAUAGUUUGAAAAACAAUAUGAAGGAGGACUUGAAAGUAAAAUAAAUUAUAUAAAUAUUUUGAAUUUAGCUCUGAAGCGUGCACACAUCGCCCGUCGCUCUCGUUGAAAAACGAGAUAAGUCGUAACAUAGCAGGGGUAAUGGAAAUUGCCCCUAAGCU